rnacentral:lncRNA from 1 species
UGGCCAUGGGCUUAAGGACUCGAUCUUUCGAUUAUCAUAGGACUACUCCUCUUAUCUACCGAGGUUGAUAGAUCCCAUCUUGGUGCGACCUAGUUCCUACAAUGAAUAUGCUACAGCCAACAUACACCUCAGGAUUUUGAAUGGCUAGAAGAUCGAGUUAUGGUGUAGUCAAACUAUAAUACACUCAAGGUGAACUAUCGAUGCACCUCAGAUCAAAGAACUAGACACACAACUGCAGCAUCGAGCUAGUCAUCGA